UUGAACAUCAAAUGGGACAUGAACCCCAGAUUUCCUGGUUUUAGAAUCAGUUUUCCAGUAGUUUAAAAUACAUUUUAUUUCUGCAGACUCAUGAUGAACACGAAGGGAAAGCCUUUCAGAUCUUUUGCAGACUGGCUACUAUUAUACUGCUUACAGUAUUUCCCUAGUCAAUAGUAAAUCUUCCAGUCAUGCUGGAAAAAAAGAGUAAGCACAACUUGUGGUCAUGUGCUAAGAUGAGUUCAGCAGUACACAGGAAUCUUCUUCCUAUUAGGAUUCAGUGAUCUCUUUAAAUUCCAAGAGAUAUUUGUCAAAGAAGCCAGCGUUAGGGGUUGUGACUUCUCAGAUUUUGGUAGAAAAAAGUAAUGCUUCAGUAUUAUAAACCUCAUUUUGAUACUUCUCAGAAUGUAAAGUCUCCCUAUAAUUUAAGAUUUCUUUUCUAGGAUUUGAAAAAGACAGUGCUCAAAUGUACAACAUCUUUUGAAUGCUAUGCUGCAUCUUAUCAGGAGCCUGUACUAUCCCUCAAAUAUUUGUUUUUCUUUCAGCCAUAGCCAUUUUCAUCAGAAAACUUUAGCCCCUGCUAGAAAUUGCCUAUGCAUGCCUAUGUGAGAAAUGAGAUCUCCUUGGACGAUCAGAAGAACUGCAGUGUGAUCUUUCCAAGCUACUAAUUGAAGGACUGAAAUGUUAAAUAUUUAACACAAAAAUAUUUUUCACUUAACUGUCUGGCAUUUAAUUUAAAUAAGUAUUAACAAAAAACAACCCCGCUCCCAAACCUAAAGUUUUAAAUCGCACAAUUAAAAUUCCUUUCCCUUAUUUGCUGUAGAUUCACAUCUUUGGUACUUGUGAGUCCAAAAUUCUGCUAGCCCUUUAUUCGUCCAUAGGUGCAUAGCUUAAUUUGUAAUGAAAAAGGUGCUGGGUCUCAAGCAAUUGUUUUACUUUCAGAACUGACACUGCAGAGGUGGGAACAUAGACAGAUCCUGAUUUAAUAUUAAAAAAAAACUACUGAAAGAAAACAUGCUGAAGAAAAAAUUUUCAGGCCUUCUUCAUCCAUUAUAAAGAAGACUUGCUCACAUUUUUUCUUCUUUGCAGUUCACCUUUAAGAUGUUCUCUUAUCUCUCAGAAAUACUGCAAAGAAAUAUUUAAUAUCUCAGUUGACAGAUCAGAUGAGCUGCAUGGAGCAGAUAUGUAAUGUCUAGUGAUUAAAUGGGUUAUCUGAUUCUUCAUACAGCACACAUUUAUUAAUAGUGUAGACUGGAAUUUGUAGGAAGAGGUGAACAUGGACCCUCUCUGGUUAACUUAGAUAAUCAGACUAUGAAGAAAUAAUAAAACUGUGGUCAGGGAACACAUAUUUAACUUCAACUUCAAUCUAUCAUUUUUAUUAUGAUAAACCUGUCACAAGCUACUGUAUAAUAAUUAUGCAGAACAUUUUUAUUAUUAUUUAGUGAUGAUUCAAUAUACAGUCCUUUUCAGCUGAGGAUCUUAGAUCGCGUCACAGUCAUCAAGUAACCAUGCUAUUAACACUACCCCAUGAAGUGAAGUAUUAUACCUCUCUUUUAAUGAGUAGUAAACAAAACUCCAUCUUGUGUAACAAUUGUUAUGGGGGAUCUGAUAACGAGGGUAACAUCCCAAGGAAGUUGAAGCAUAAUUUGAUUUUGCUUUUAUAGACUGAAUAAAAUGUUUGUCACAU